UUUCAAGCUUCCUUUUGACUAGGAAGAAUCCAAGACAGCAAUGCAUCAAAUUCUGUCUUGAUAAGGGGAUAGAGAGAUGGGAGAGCCCAGGAUGCUGCUUUUUGAUGUGGGGUGAAGAAGAAAUGGACAAACCACACACCAUUUGGCCUGACCAAGAGAGAAAGGAGCAGAGGAAACAGAGAGUAGAGGAACUGGACCAACAUAAUACCGUGCAGCAUAUGUUGAUCAGAAUCUUGUAUGUUGUUGAACUUUUCUUAUGCUAAAGCUGUAAGUAUGUUUCCAAUGUUCCACUAGUUAAACAGAAAUUUAAGU